rnacentral:rRNA from 1 species
CCUACGGGGGGCUGCAGUGGGGAAUACUGCACAAUGGGCGAAAGCCUGAUGCAGCAACGCCGCGUGAGCGAUGAAGGUCUUCGGGUCGUAAAGCUCUGUCCUAAGGGAAGAAUAUUGACGGUACCUUAGGAGGAAGCCCCGGCUAACUACGUGCCAGCAGCCGCGGUAAUACGUAGGGGGCUAGCGUUAUCCGGAAUUACUGGGCGUAAAGGGUGCGUAGGCGGCCCUUCAAGUCAGAGGUGAAAGGCUACGGCUCAACCGUAGUAAGCCUUUGAAACUGUAGGGCUUGAGUGCAGGAGAGGCGAUUGCAAUUCCCCGUGUAGCGGUGAAAUGCUUAGAUAUUGGGAGGAACACCAGUUGCGAAGGCGGCUCUCUGGCCUGUAACUGACGCUGAGGCACGAAAGCGUGGCGAGCUAACAGGAUUAGCUUCCCCGGUAGUC